rnacentral:rRNA from 1 species
UACGAAGGGGGCUAGCGUUGUUCGGAAUCACUGGGCGUAAAGGGCGCGUAGGCGGCUUUAUAAGUCAGGGGUGAAAGCCUGUGGCUCAACCACAGAAUUGCCUUCGAUACUGUAGAGCUUGAGACCGGAAGAGGUAAGUGGAACUGCGAGUGUAGAGGUGAAAUUCGUAGAUAUUCGCAAGAACACCAGUGGCGAAGGCGGCUUACUGGUCCGGUUCUGACGCUGAGGCGCGAAAGCGUGGGGAGCAAACGGG